ACCGAUGAAGGCGACUACAGCAUCAAGCUGCGCAACCUCAUCAAGUUCCUGGAAGAGGGCGACAAGACCAAGAUCACGCUGCGUUUCCGUGGCCGUGAAAUGGCCCACCAGGAUAUCGGCAUGCGCAUGCUCGAACGCCUGCGCGGCGACCUGGAAGAAGUCGGCCAGGUCGAGCAGUUCCCGAAGCUCGAGGGACGCCAGAUGAUCAUGAUCGUUGCGCCGAAAAAGAAGAAGUAAUUCUUCGACGUCAGCUAGGCGGGCCGGGCCCGGGUGCGAGCGCAAGCUGCACCCGGGUCCGGCCUGUGUGCGUUGGUGGGGUUUGAAUCAGUGCA
rnacentral:misc_RNA from 1 species